ACGGAAGGCAGCAGUGGGGGAUAUUGCACAAUGGAGGAAACUCUGAUGCAGCAACGCUGCGUGAGGGAAGAAGGUUUUCGGAUUGUAAACCUCUGUUUUUAGUGAAGAAACAAAUGACGGUAGCUAAAGAGGAAGCCACGGCUAACUACGUGCCAGCAGCCGCGGUAAUACGUAGGUAGCAAGCGUUGUCCGGAUUUACUGGGUGUAAAGGGUGCGCAGGCGGGACUGCAAGUUGGAUGUGAAAUACCGGAGCUCAACUCCGGAGCUGCACCCAAAACUGUAGUUCUUGAGUGGAGUAGAGGUAAGCGGAAUUCCGAGUGUAGCGGUGAAAUGCGUAGAUAUUCGGAGGAACACCAGUGGCGAAGGCGGCUUACUGGGCUCUAACUGACGCUGAGGCACGAAAGCAUGGGUAGCAAACAGGAUUAGAUACCCUGGUA
rnacentral:rRNA from 1 species